UCUUGGUCAUUUAGAGGAAGUAAAAGUCGUAACAAGGUCUCCGUAGGUGAACCUGCGGAGGGAUCAUUACACAAAUAUGAAGGCGGGCUGGAACCUCUCGGGGUUACANGCCUUGCUGAAUUAUUCACCCUUGUCUUUUGCGUACUUCUUGUUUCCUUGGUGGGUUCGCCCACCACUAGGACAAACAUAAACCUUUUGUAAUUGCAAUCAGCGUCAGUAACAAAUUAAUAAUUACAACUUUCAACAACGGAUCUCUUGGUUCUGGCAUCGAUGAAGAACGCAGCGAAAUGCGAUAAGUAGUGUGAAUUGCAGAAUUCAGUGAAUCAUCGAAUCUUUGAACGCACAUUGCGCCCUUUGGUAUUCCAAAGGGCAUGCCUGUUCGAGCGUCAUUUGUACCCUCAAGCUUUGCUUGGUGUUGGGCGUCUUGUCUCUAGCUUUGCUGGAGACUCGCCUUAAAGUAAUUGGCAGCCGGCCUACUGGUUUCGGAGCGCAGCACAAGUCGCACUCUCUAUCAGCAAAGGUCUAGCAUCCAUUAAGCCUUUUUUUCAACUUUUGACCUCGGAUCAGGUAGGGAUACCCGCUGAACUUAAGCCAUAUCAAUAAGCGGAGGAA
rnacentral:rRNA from 1 species